AUGACAAAGUUUGUUUACAAAGAGGAGCAUCCCUUAGAAGAGUACUGCUCUGAGGGUGAGAAGAUCCAAAGGAAAUAUUCAGAACUAGCAGGAGGUAGUGGAAAAGCCUCCCAAAGCUCAGAUGGGAGAUCUGGACAAAAAGAAAUACAUGAUGCUUUCUCAUCUCACAGUUGGUCAGUUCUACCUUUUGAUCUGGAAGUGAACUCAUCUCAAAUUGGAACUCAUCUUAUAUUC
rnacentral:lncRNA from 1 species